ACGCGCAGAACCUUACCAGCCCUUGACAUGGGCAGGACCGGUCCAGAGAUGGACUUUUCCCGCAAGGGACCUGCCGCACAGGUGCUGCAUGGCUGUCGUCAGCUCGUGUCGUGAGAUGUUGGGUUAAGUCCCGCAACGAGCGCAACCCUCGCCUUUAGUUGCCAGCAUGUUUGGGUGGGCACUCUAGAGGAACUGCCGGUGACAAGCCGGAGGAAGGUGGGGAUGACGUCAAGUCCUCAUGGCCCUUAUGGGCUGGGCUACACACGUGCUACAAUGGCGGUGACAGUGGGAAGCCAGGUCGCGAGGCCGAGCCGAUCCUGAAAAGCCGUCUCAGUUCAGAUCGCAUCCUGCAACUCGGAUGCGUGAAGGUGGAAUCGCUAGUAAUCGCGCAUCAGCAUGGCGCGGUGAAUACGUUCCCGGGCCUUGUACACACCGCCCGUCACACCAUGGGAGUUGGUUUUACCCUAAGCCGGUUGGCUAACCGCAAGGAGGCC
rnacentral:rRNA from 1 species